rnacentral:rRNA from 1 species
AGCGAACGCUGGCGGCAGGCCUAACACAUGCAAGUCGAACGAACCCUUCGGGGUUAGUGGCGGACGGGUGAGUAACACGUGGGAACGUACCUUUAGGUUCGGAACAACACAGGGGAAACUUGUGCUAAUGCCGAAUGUGCCCUUCGGGGGAAAGAUUUAUCGCCUUUAGAGCGGCCCGCGUCUGAUUAGCUUGUUGGUGAGGUAAAGGCUCACCAAGGCUACGAUCAGUAGCUGGUCUGAGAGGAUGAUCAGCCACACUGGGACUGAGACACGGCCCAGACUCCUACGGGAGGCAGCAGUGGGGAAUCUUGCGCAAUGGGCGAAAGCCUGACGCAGCCAUGCCGCGUGAAUGAUGAAGGUCUUAGGAUUGUAAAUACUUUCACCGGGGAAGAUAAUGACGGUACCCGGAGAAGAAGCCCCGGCUAACUUCGUGCCAGCAGCCG